CUGCAGCCCGAGUGGUGAUCGAUUUUAUUGAGCCUAAAGCGUCCGUAGCCGGCCUAGUAAACCCUUGGGUAAAUUGGGCAUCUUAACUGUCCAAAUUCCGAAGGGACUGCUAGUCUUGGGACCGGGAGAGGUCAGAGGUACUCAAGGGGUAGGGGAUAAAUCCUGUAAUCCUUUGGGGACCACCAGUGGCGAAGGCGUCUGACUAGAACGGAUCCGACGGUAAGGGACGAAACCCUGGGGCGCGAACCGGAUUAGAUACCCGUGUAGUCC
rnacentral:rRNA from 1 species